AUUGAACGCUGGCGGCAUGCCUUACACAUGCAAGUCGAACGGUAACAGGUUAAGCUGACGAGUGGCGAACGGGUGAGUCAUGUAUCGGAACGUGCCCAGUCGUGGGGGAUAACUGCUCGAAAGAGCAGCUAAUACCGCAUACGACCUGAGGGUGAAAGCGGGGGAUCGCAAGACCUCGCGCGAUUGGAGCGGCCGAUAUCAGAUUAGGUAGUUGGUGAGGUAAAGGCUCACCAAGCCGACGAUCUGUAGCUGGUCUGAGAGGACGACCAGCCACACUGGGACUGGAACACGGCCCAGACUCCUACGGGAGGCAGCAGUGGGGAAUUUUGGACAAUGAGCGCAAACCUGAUCCAGCCAUGCCGCGUGCGGGAAGAAGGCCUUCGGGUUGUGAACCGCUUUUGUCAGGGAAGAAAAGGUUCUGGCUAAUACCUGCGACUCAUGACGGUACCUGAAGAAUAAGCACCGGCUAACUACGUG
rnacentral:rRNA from 1 species